UUAUUUUUUUUUUACUACAUUAUUUUAUUAUCUUAAUGGUGUCGGAUAAGUUAAAUGAUUGAAUUACGAAUCAUUUUCCGAGUCGUGGGUAGGUACUCGGCUCAGACUUGAACAGAGGUAUAUAUAAAGUCGCCCGAUGUAACAUCGGACAUCAGUUCUACUUCAUUGUUUCUGAACACUAUUGAAAAUGAAAUUCGCCACCCUCUUGGUUUUCGUCGUCGUGUUGACCACCGCUUAUGGCUGGUACAUGCGUCCUAAUCUAUCCAGUGGCUCUGGUAAUGGAGAUCAUACUGAGGUUUAUAAAUCCUUGGCCGAAUUUUUCUCCAAAUUGAGCAGUGAUGCCGCUCAAGUUGCUGCCAUUUCUGUUCCUGGGAGACGAUAAAUUUUUUGAAUUUGUAUUAUUCUUUUGACGAUGUUUGUUAUGCAUGCUGAUUAAAAAAUGAACAAAG